GAUGAACGCUGGCGGCGUGCCUAACACAUGCAAGUCGAACGGAGUCGUUUUGGCAAUCUCUUCGGAGAUGGAAUUCUCGACUUAGUGGCGGACGGGUGAGUAACGCGUGAGCAAUCUGCCUUUAAGAGGGGGAUAACAGUCGGAAACGGCUGCUAAUACCGCAUAAAGCAUUAAAUUCGCAUGUUUUUGAUGCCAAAGGAGCAAUCCGCUUUUAGAUGAGCUCGCGUCUGAUUAGCUAGUUGGCGGGGUAACGGCCCACCAAGGCGACGAUCAGUAGCCGGACUGAGAGGUUGAACGGCCACAUUGGGACUGAGACACGGCCCAGACUCCUACGGGAGGCAGCAGUGGGGAAUAGUGCGCAAUGGGGGAAACCCUGACGCAGCAACGCCGCGUGAUUGAAGAAGGCCUUCGGGUUGUAAAGAUCUUUAAUCAGGGACGAAGCAAAUGACGGUACCUGAAGAAUAAGCUCCGGCUAACUACGUG
rnacentral:rRNA from 1 species